GGCGCGAGAACGGGCCGACCGCGCGGGGGUGGCGCCGCCGGUAGAGCGCCGGCCGCCUAGCCGCAGGGAAGAUGAUGGGCAGCGCUAGGGUUUGGGCUCAACCGCCGGACUUGCUCCGCCGUCGACCUCAGUUCCAGACGACGGGAGUAGCAGCGAACACAAUGGACGAAAAAAAGAGGGCUGCGUCGGCUGGCGGUCGGAUGUGUGAGGUCGCAUCAGGUUGUGCUCUCUCUGUGUUCAUUCAUUUCAAUUCAUGUAUUAGGUUUUAAGUUGUGUGAUGUGGUUCCUGUGGAUGCAAGAUUACAGGAAAAUCUCAUGCCGGCCAAAAAAAAGAAUGGAAUGUUCUCCUCCCUGUUUGAGAGGUUGUAUAUCGCGGGGCGGCCGGUUGACGCGCGGGAGAAGACGAGAGAUGCUGCAGAGGUGGAGGCAGUCGUGCAGAAGGUGUGAACGGCGGCCGCUGCAUCUGGUCGUCGGCGUGGCUCCGACCGUGUGCUGAAGUACGGCCGCCUCGCCGGGCAAGCGGCAACAAGACGGCAUGGGGCGAGCAGUUGAUGCGUGGAGCAGCCGAGAGAAGCUGCAGAUGUAGAGCCGGGCGUGCACAAGGUGUGAGUGGCGGCCGCUGCGUUGGUAGCCGGUGUGGCCCCGGUUGGAGUAUUUUUAGUGGCCAACACUGGAAGGGGAACGACUAAUCAACCAGAGAAGUAGGUGAUUCCCCAACUCAUCUGGCUCCCUCUCCUAGAACGGCCUCUUAUCUUCCUAAAUUUCCUUUUGGAUCUUGAUUUGUUUGGUUCUGGGUUCUCCUCUUUAGGCUCCAACAAAAAAAGAGAUUUUUAUGUCGAUGGCCAUUGAUCUUAAAGUAACAAGACGAUUGAUGUUUUCUAUGGCUCGCUGCUGAUUUUUGCAAUUUAGACAAGGAUCUAAGUAAGAAAGUCAGAAGAAGAGGAUAUGUAGGAGCAGGUCAACCAUGACCAGAUGCACACGUAUUUGAUGAAAUGCAGGUACAAGGCUUCUCUUAUUUUCAUUUUUCCCAUAUCUUUCUAUGCAUCUUAUCAUCAUCGUGAUUGUAUGGAGUAUGUGGAAUGGAUAUAUGCAAGGGGGAGGUGUCAGGUUUUACCGGUAGUCAUAAUUCUGAUUUGGUACUAUUUUCUUUUCAACAAUGAAGGUGACUUUCCAUGAUAAAUUAGGUCUUAGACCAAGCACCAUGGUGUGUGUAGUCCCGGCCUCUAGACAAGUGCUUCUCGGGAAGCACGAGUGCAUCCAGUAGCGGCGAGGUUGACAUCCUGAUCCGCUCCUUUCUUUGUUUUUGCUAGGACUUCCUAUGGUGCGAUUAUACCUUUGUUUUGGCGCCUCGCUGACAACGAUUAUGUCACUGUUAUAAGCCUGUCUAGGGAUGAUUGCGGCAUCACCGGUUGGAUGGGCUUGAAGGUACUACCUCCGGUCAACUUUAAUCGACACGCGAGCAUGAGAAGGGAGUAUUUGAUAAUUUCCAACUUUGCAUGUUUGUUGCCUUCAAGUACAGGAAAAAAAAGUUCAUGAGAAGGUGUAGGACUUAUGAUUAACAAUCUGUAAUAUUUUAGCAUUUCCCUUACUAUCCAUUCAUGUGUUUAAUGUAUUAAUUUUUUUACACAAAAGUGCAUGACAUUGGUUGCAACUCUGGCGUGGUUUUAUGUUCAGAGAAUUUACUUUUAUCCUGUAGUUUAGUGGAUAUGCUUUGAUCUGAAGGAUAUUUUUUGGGGUCAUUACAGUAUUAUGCGUGAUGAAAUUUGGAAAUGGUCUAAUAUAAUUCAUCGCUUCUGUGAAUUAGAUUCAUUCUAAGUACUAUCCUGGUUUUAUGCCAAAACCAACUAUCUAUCUUCUUCAUUUUUUUAAAAAAUAGUGCAUGGUUCUUUUUAUUUUUGUGUAAUUAUCAUCAGAUGAACAUACAAAUUUAUUUUCAUUCAAGCAUAUAGAUUGGUCUGCCAGAAUGUCACCAAGUCACAGCUUGAUAUGUAUGAUUUUAUCCUGCCUGAAAAACAAUCAUGCCUCUUAUUCUUUUUUUUUCACAGAUUGGUCUUGAGGGUAAUGAGUAGAAAAAAUCAUUUCGUGAGUCAAUUGGAUUGGCUCAGUUUAUUUGAGAAGGCCAAUAUAACAUUGUAAAAGACAUCUAUUUGGUUCCGGGAAUAGCAAUUUACUUUUUCUUGAUAUGGUACUGAUGUCCUGACAGUUUCCUUUACUUUUUAUUGAAAGAUAAUUGCAUUUGCAUGUAUUUCGUCUGCUGCUGCUGUUGUUCUUCCUCACAUCGCACAUUUCAUGGACUUCUUUUUUGCAAUGUGGGCUUAGUUUGCAGUCAUAAUGUUCAACUAAUUGUUUGAGAGAUAGCAGCUAUUAUUUUAGUCCUAUGAAGCAGAGUUGCUUCUCUGGAUGUUCUCCACAUGAAUACAAUGGGUUUGAUUUAAAUCAUGAUAUGGAUAUUCUUUUCAGUUCUGCUCCUGGUUUGUCGUAUAAGAAACAAAAUAUUCUUCAGCUUUUAGUUUGUUCAUAUGAUUCACGAUAGUUAUUGCCGUGUGUGUAUGCUACUGAGUAUGUGGUCUGAAAAUAUUGUUUUCUUCUAUUUCUAAUGAAAUUAUGGUUCUCUUAAUCAAUAGUUUGCUCUCUUAAUCAAUUUCUUGCCUGGGGUUGAAGAGCCUGCAGAUGGCAUAAAAUACUAAGAACUUCAUUGGGAUGGACAUAUUUUGAACCCGCACAUCGUGCAACACUGCAUACAUCAACUCUUGGAUUAUGCUAUUUAUUGCCUCGAGCAUUUUCAGAGGUGAAAAAUCUUGCAUGCAACCUUCUUUUUUCUUCUGGUAUGAUCAGAACUAUAUAAAAACCAUGAGUAAUUGACUGAAAUUGUGUGUGUUUCUGAUCAUGCUAGAUAUUUCUUAUGAGAGCUUCAGUAAAAUCCUUCACUUAUUAUCAAUUUGGCAAGACGCAUUGUUUAUUUACUGAGAAGUUGUCUCUUAUAGAUGAUUAUUCGUAGCUUGCUGGAAUAGACUUGUUCAGGGGACACCAAACACUGUCAAUUGAUUUAAAUUUGCUCAUAUUUAUUCUGACACUUCAUCAGUUGUUUGUUCUAAUUCCAUGUCAGAUAUAGAUGAGAAGCUACAUCAGAUGAGUUCUUUACUUCACUAAUGAUAUUGGUUUCUCCUCCUCAUUUAAUUUAUCUAUCGGAAGCUCUUAUCCACUUCGCUGAAGAUACAAGCCACUUGAGGUUUGCAUGGACUGAUGCAUGCUACAAUAUCUUCACUCUAGGUGUGAUUGGAAUACAUGAUCUUUGAGUUUGGUUUCUCUGAAGAACUACAACCUGCCCUUCUUGUUUUAAUUGUCAUGAUGUGUUCUUGGUACAAGCGAUAUAGUUAAAUUUAAGAAAAAUAGUAGCUUGCAGUUAAGCUCAUUAUAUUUUUGGUCUAUACAUGUGAUAUAAUUAAAUUUAGUGAAAAUAUUAGCUUAUGUUAAGGUAUUUCAGUAUUCUGCCUUCUGAACCCAUUGUAGGAUAAAUAGCAAGCUCCUUUGUUUUCUUACGAACUUUCUUCAUAACUAAUUGUACUUGGAGGCAUCUUCUUGCUGAGUUAAGGUUUUUUUAAAAACGAAGACCAUCUAUAUGAAUUAAAGCUGUACAUGCUCUUGCUGAGUUACUUCUUGGGUCAGUUUGAUUUUUUCAUUACGUUUUGUCAUAUUCCUUUUAUUGCAUCUUCCGUUUGUAUUUGUCCAAACUAUCAGAGAACUUGGAGUUGAGACUAAGAAUCUAUUUUUAUCCUCUUUUGUCAUAUAUAUCUUGCAGAAUGUUCAGCAGGUUAUGAGCUAAUUUUUCCUCUGGUAAGCAGAACUUCCUCUACGUAGGAAGUACAUAAUGAGUUUGAUUGUGUGUUGAUAUUGAGUGCUCACAAGAAAUUGAAAUAGACUACAGGUUUGUUUACUUUGGUAAUCUAUGUUCAGUAGGAUUUUCCAAAUAUAUGUUUCAGUUAUCCUGCAAAAAGACUUCAGUUGAGUUGAAUCCAGUUACAGGACUGAACAAUUAGGGAUUUGUACAUACAUAUUUCGUUGUGAUCUGUGGCACAAUUUUUGUUCAUGUCCCGUACCAGCUAUAGUCUGUAGAAUGACACUUAUCAUUGGUAUUGGUUCUACGCUACAGCUUAUUUUAUGAUACCUCUUUGUCAAGCUAACUGAUGAUUUUACUACAUGGCAACGUACUAAAGGUGGCGUUUAUUCAGUCAAGUCAGCCUAAAGCUGACACGAGCUAAUUGCCUAAAUUUUGGUAUCUGAACUUCUUAUAAACAAUGUGAAAAUAGAGAUGACCAUGCUUUGUAAUCUCAAGUAUCAUGUUUACUAUGACAUGGUUGGCAUACUUUAUCUUCAGAUCAUUUGCUAUGCUAUCUACUGUGCUUUGAGAGAGAAUGGUUUCACAAGAUUUUAGUCUGUACUAUAUUCAACCUAUAAGACAAGAUCCCUAACCUUUUUGAUGAACAAGAAGGCAUCAUGCACUAACUGACACAUUUUUGUAGGUCUACACAUUUUCCAGGAACAGCUGUUGUAGGCCAAGGACUGUCUGGAGUUGUCCACCUGUUGCGGUGGCUCCUGUUUUGCUUAGUCAAUUUUGACGGAAGGAAGGUAAGUUCUUCAGCCUGAGGGCACCCGUGUUGAUACAUAUCUGAACUUUCACUCUAAUACAUGGUAAUUUUGCUCAAAUGCUCUAAUUGCCUGAACAUGUGUUAAUCCUUUCGGUGUUUGGCCCUGUCAAGUAAUAUAUAACUGCUGGUCAUAGUUGAUUUUCUUUCAUAACACUAAAUUUGUAACCUGCCCUACACAGGCUAUGUAACUCCAGUACCGACUGACAUACUCACAUGAGGAAGGAUGUCGUAAACUGCGUGCAGUUUCUAGGCGAGAACAGUAGUGUUCCAAAUGUAGCAGUUCGCUUUGUAGCAACUUCGUUUCUCUAUUUUGCAUUUGUUGCCCGGUGAAGUGAACAAGGUCCGUGUGUGGUUCUGGCUGAAUACAUACCUUCUAACAUGUAUCUAAAGUUUGUUGUUACC